rnacentral:lncRNA from 1 species
AAAAACCAAAUAGUGUGGGCCUCUGAAAAAACCAAAUAGUGUGGGCCUCUGAAAAAAAACUUAAUAGUGUGGGCCUCCGAAAAAAAUCAAAUAUGGAUGGGACUCCGAACAAAGACUGAUCCUGGUUGGUCAUAUCUAGCCGCUUACGCUAAAGAUAGACCCUUAAGGGUAAGGUGACCUUAUUCAACCGCUUAUGUUGAAAGUCGAUUCACUAUGAAAUAUAUGAUCUUAUCCAGCCGUUUAUGCCGAAGGUAUGUGCUAUGGAUAAUUUGAUUUU